rnacentral:lncRNA from 1 species
AAAUUCCUAGGCUAGCUGAAUGGACACUUGAGCAGCUAAAAAGUCAGCUUAUUUUCAAAACAAAUGAAUUGAAAAUUUCAUGUAGCUUCCUAGAACGUCCCUUGAAGCUUCCUUGAAGAUUCCUAGCUUUGGAGACGUCAAUGGACAGCCUUUUGAUGUCUUCUAAUAGCCUUGAAUUAAUAAGGUGAUGGUUGAGCUGAAAUGGCUAAAUAGAAUUGUUUAGAUUGGCCUAAUUCGUCCAACUUGUGUGAAAGCUCUUAUGGUUGCUUGGGGAGCUCAAAGGCCAACUUGGGGAAGAGAAAUGAUCUACGUUGGGAACUGAAAGGGACAAGCUAAGUUCGGCCAACAAUUUGAUGAGCUAUUUAAAAUUUACUUUGAUUAGCUGAAAAAUUAUUGGAAGCAUUAAUGAGCAGCUUUGGAGACUCCAUCGGCCAUGCAAUGUGAAUUUAUGAUUCACCCUUGCAAUACUCGAAGGGAAGCUUGAAACCAGCAGCCCACUUUCUUUAAUUGCAACUCCCUUUUUAAAUACUGCUCAUUCAUUCUCUCAAUUGGGCGGCACCUUUAUGGCAU